CGCCUUGCUGAAUUAUUCACCCUUGUCUUUUGCGUACUUCUUGUUUCCUUGGUGGGUUCGCCCACCACUAGGACAAACAUAAACCUUUUGUAAUUGCAAUCAGCGUCAGUAACAAAUUAAUAAUUACAACUUUCAACAACGGAUCUCUUGGUUCUGGCAUCGAUGAAGAACGCAGCGAAAUGCGAUAAGUAGUGUGAAUUGCAGAAUUCAGUGAAUCAUCGAAUCUUUGAACGCACAUUGCGCCCUUUGGUAUUCCAAAGGGCAUGCCUGUUCGAGCGUCAUUUGUACCCUCAAGCUUUGCUUGGUGUUGGGCGUCUUGUCUCUAGCUUUGCUGGAGACUCGCCUUAAAGUAAUUGGCAGCCGGCCUACUGGUUUCGGAGCGCAGCACAAGUCGCACUCUCUAUCAGCAAAGGUCUAGCAUCCAUUAAGCCUUUUUUUCAACUUUUGACCUCGGAUCAGGUAGGGAUACCCGCUGAACUUAAGCAUAUCAAAA
rnacentral:rRNA from 1 species